CCCAGACACUACUAGACUAUGUGAAGUCAGGGACUGACCACGUGACCAGUCCCAGACACUACUAGACUAUGUGUCAGGGAGUCAGGGACUGACCACGUGACCAGUCCCAGACACUACUAGACUAUGUGAAGUCAGGGACUGACCACGUGACCAGUCCCAGACACUACUAGACUAUGUGAAGUCAGGGACUGACCACGUGACCAGUCCCAGACACUACGAGACUAUGUGAAGUCAGGGACUGACCACGUGACCAGUCCCAGACACUACUAGACUAUGUGAAGUCAGGGAAAGUGAGCUACAUUAAACAUGCAUUUCAACUGUUCCAACCCAAAUGCUUUCCCCUGAGCUUCGUAGUCAAAUUCAGGUAUUCAUGAUGUUUAGAAAGCAGCCACCUCGGUGCACUAUAUGCAGACAGACGGGACAAAUCAUUUGCUUCUAAACCUGAUUAUUAUCUUAUCUUUAAAUCAUCUAUUGUAGAAUAAGCUUAAGAGCCGACGGCGUCAUAAUCUUUUUCAGUAUGUGUAUGCCUGGUUAGAAAGAGCUGUUAUAUUUUAGUGUCAGUUGAUUCUCAUGAUUUAGUCAGACUGGUUUGGUUGUCUGAAUAAAGAAGUCAUGUUUCACCUUUCGCUACUGAUUAACAUGCAUGCCAGGAUUCUGUUAUUUCACGAUUAUAGAAAACUUUUGAUUUCUUUGAGUCCCAUGUAAUGAAAUCUUAACUAAUAAAGUCUGUUUGGAACAAUA